rnacentral:lncRNA from 1 species
AUACGGCACGCGCACUGGAUCAAAAUAAUACACGCCUCGACAUGCGCCAGACGGUCGUGCUGAUGGCGGGGAACCGGGACUGCCGUUGUACGUGGCCUGGAGCUCACUUCCGCUCUCCCCCUCGCUGGACCUCUGACCGCAGGUCUCUGAGUCUGUUUCUUGGAGAUUUGGGAUAGCUGGGAGGCCCCAUGAGAGCGAGACGGUGAAGCUACCAGCAAUGGGGUCUGGUUCUGAUGUAGCCAUUGACCCCAGCUUGCACAGCUGAGCUUGCACAUUCCUCCUCUCCUCCCCAGCCCCUGCCCCCGCUCCCAGCUGUGGCUGCCCCAUGUCCUCUCCAGACCACCCCGCACAGCUGUGGCUGCCCCAUGUCCUCUCCAGACCACCCCG